CUUCGUUCUGCACAUUCACACGAACAAAGAUAGCGGAGAAUUCCAUCAGCCCAGAUGAAAUAAUAGAUAUGGACGAAGUCCCUCAGACAUUUGACUUGCCUCUCACUUGGACUGUAAAGAAAAAAGGUGACUCCUCCUUCAUACUGAAAACAAGCGGCCACGAGAGAACACAUUUUACAGUAUUUUCCGCACUAUAUGGCGCACCAAAAAGUCUUCCAUUUUCUUAAAAGCUCACCGAGCGCCUUAAAAUCCGGUGCGUCUUUUGUAUGGUCAAUACGGUAAUACGUCGACUCCUAGAUGGCUCCUUCCUGGAGACAUGCUUCCAAUGUUAUAACUUGCUGUUGGUUCAGUGAACUGUGUCGCUGCUUUAUUAAAUAAGUCUGUGUUGCAGCUCCGAAAAAAAGAGAGCUUUGGUGUUAUUUUUUUAAAACAGUCUCAACAAAUACAGGUACAAUUUAUAUUGUGAUUUCAUCAUCUGUGAAUAUACAACAAAGGAAUAAAUAACUACGACACAACUUAUUGUGUUAUUUUGACUUCAAGAUGGCGCAGCGAGAGUGGCUGCCUUUCCAGCAGCUCCUAUUUUGUUUUUCUACUUCUUCCUCUCAGAACUUUGCUGCUGUGAAGUGGGAAUUUCUCCAUUGUGAGAAGAUUAAAGGUUUUCUUAUCUUAUCUGGUCAUACUGUUGGAGCUACGAUAAAGGAAAUGCCAAUGCGUUUUUCGGAGGCGGUCAUGAACGCCUCUCGAGGUGAAGAAAAGAAGGGAAGGAGACGGACAAAGACGCACCUGUAUUUGUUGAAAAAAGGAGAGCUGUGGUUGUGGUUUUAUUAUUUUUUUAAACGCAUACUUUAUUAAUGGUUUUCACAGUCCCACCAAAUACAGGUACUGUACGUCUUUGUCCGUCUCCGUGCCUUCUUCCGUUCCACUCGAGAGGCGUUCAUUGCGUGCUCCAAAAAACGUAAAUUAUUUCUUACUUCAAUUAAACCACGAAAAUCAAGCGAGGAAAUCACAAAAUAAAUUCUAUAUCCCUCUAAAGAAUUUAUUUUGGUUUGCCAGAUAUAGAAUUUAUUUUGUGAUUUCCUAGCUUGAUUUUCUGUUUUGAUGCAUUAUUUUUAGAGCUGUCAGUGUAGCGCAUUUUUAUUAGCCUUAAUUUAAAUGAAUUUUAACGGGAUUAAAUUAUUUCUCGCGAGAUUAACGCGGCACACGUCACAAGCGGAUGUUACGGUGCUCUAUAAAUACACCAGAAACAAAACAACAAGCGCGCUGCAGAAGUCCACGCCCAUGUCUGUUUUGCCAGCCAUGGCAGCGCGAGACACAGAAAACGGAUACUUAAAGAGUUUAUGAAUGGAGAGUUUACUUUUAAAAAGUUGCCAGAUUGCUCCACUGACAAGACCAAAGUUACCUGUAUCAUACAGGUAUACGAUGUAUGCCACUGACGUGAUUGUUACUUGUUUGGAACUAUUUUGUGUGGAAGGUUACAGUGGUCUGUGUCCAUAUAAAUAGAGUGGGUGGAGCUUCUCUGUGUUUGUCUGACACCGACAGUGAGCUACGGUGGUAGCGACCUAGCGAAAGUAAAACGUCUCCAGUGUUGUCAUCGAACCAAGUGUAGUCAUUUGAAAUGAGGUCUACACAAAACCGUAGAGAGACUUCCGCGCAAGAUCGCCGCUUGUAUCCAGGAUCUUGUGCUUUCAGUCACGAACCACAGCUUGUGACCAUAGGAAAGGGUAGGAAUAUAGAUUGGUCGGUAAAUUGA